rnacentral:rRNA from 1 species
UGGGGAAUAUUGCACAAUGGGGGAAACCCUGAUGCAGCGACGCCGCGUGAGUGAAGAAGUAUUUCGGUAUGUAAAGCUCUAUCAGCAGGGAAGAUAAUGACAGUACCUGACUAAGAAGCCCCGGCUAACUACGUGCCAGCAGCCGCGGUAAUACGUAGGGGGCAAGCGUUAUCCGGAUUUACUGGGUGUAAAGGGAGCGUAGACGGAAUGGCAAGUCUGAAGUGAAAUACCCGGGCUCAACCUGGGAACUGCUUUGGAAACUGUUGUUCUAGAGUGUUGGAGAGGUAAGUGGAAUUCCUGGUGUAGCGGUGAAAUGCGUAGAUAUCAGGAAGAACACCGGAGGCGAAGGCGGCUUACUGGACAAUAACUGACGUUGAGGCUCGAAAGCGUGGGGAUCAAACAGGAUUAGAUACCCUGGUAGUCCACGCUGUAAACGAUGAAUACUAGGUGUCGGGGUGCAAAGCAUCUCGGUGCCGUCGCUAACGCAAUAAGUAUUCCACCUGGGGAGUACGUUCGCAAGAAUG